GAUGAACGCUGGCGGCGUGCCUAAUACAUGCAAGUCGAGCGAACAGACGAGGAGCUUGCUCCUCUGACGUUAGCGGCGGACGGGUGAGUAACACGUGGAUAACCUACCUAUAAGACUGGGAUAACUUCGGGAAACCGGAGCUAAUACCGGAUAAUAUAUUGAACCGCAUGGUUCAAUAGUGAAAGACGGUUUUGCUGUCACUUAUAGAUGGAUCCGCGCCGCAUUAGCUAGUUGGUAAGUUAACGGCUUACCAAGGCAACGAUGCGUAGCCGACCUGAGAGGGUGGUCGGCCACACGGGAGCUGAGACACGGUCCAGACUCCUGCGGGAGGCAGCAGUAGGGAAUCGUACGCAGUGGGCGAAAGCCUGACGGAGCAACGCCGCGUGAGUGAUAGAGGUCUUCGGAUCGUAAAACUCUGUUAUUAGGGAAGAACAAAUGUGUAAGUAACUAUGCACGUCUUGACGGUACCUAAUCAGAAAGCCACGGCUAACUACGUG
rnacentral:rRNA from 1 species